rnacentral:lncRNA from 10 species
CAUGAAUCAUGUGACGGUGGCUUGAGGAGGAACCUGUCUUUAAAGCUGUCCCUGAAGUGACAGCGGAGAGAACCAGGCAGCCCAGAAACCCCAGGACCUAAAGCGAUUCUUGUAUAAAAAGUUACCAAGUGUUGAAGGGCUCCAUGCCAUUGUUGUGUCAGAUAGAGAUGGAGUACCUGUUAUUAAAGGUAAAACUGAACAUUUAAAUGCAAAUGUCUUCUUUGCUUUUGACUAAAAAUGUGUGUAAUUUACAUCUGAGUAGUACAGCAGGCAAACAUAAAAUUCAUUUUAGUAAAUUUGGGAGAUGGUCUUAGUAUUGGGGAAAGUGUUUGCUUUUGUAUGUUGAAGGUUGAAUUUGAAUCUACAAUGUAUUAUAUAUCACAUGUAUCAUAUUAACAUCUAGAGUUUAAGCAUGGAUUUAUCACAGACCCAUUUCCCAUUAAAGACAUUUACAGUGUAACGUAAACCAUUAGUAAAUCUAAGUGAUGAGAGUGAGCAUGUAUUCAGCUAGAUAUACACACAGACACCCCUACUAUAUAUAUAUGUGUGUGUGUAUAUAUAUACAUACCACACACACAUUUUAUCAAAUUGCUAGUUGUUUUAGGAUAAUACCCAUGUAUUUGGAUCAUAAGUAAACAUGAUGUCACAGAGAGUCAGUAUGGAUUCAGACAAUUUUUACUAUUUCUAUAUUAUGGUAUUAUGAGAAUGGAUGUUCCUAGUUUUAUUGGGACACUAUAGUGGCUUUAUCAAAGAUUAAAGAUUGGAUAAUGUUCUGUAUAUUUUGUUUACAAUUUUCCACCUGGAGUUGUCAUAUAUAUCAGAUAAUUUUAGACUUUAGAAAUGAAAGGAGGUUUAGAAGUCAACUAAUGUAGUUCUUUCAUUUUAUAAGUGAAGGUGAUAAAGUGCAAAGACACUUGGACUUCUUAGCAGUUUUAAUGGAGAGUUAGCUAUGUCUUAGAUUCUUAUUAAUAAACUGCAUGAAUUUGUAAAGAUUAUAAACAUUUCUGUAAUACACAUUGAUUCCAUUUCUGGGAGAAUUUUGGCAAACACAUUAUAAGAACAAAGGAGGUCCUGUGGUUUAUAAUCUUCGGACAUUGCCGUCCAAAGUCGGACAUGAGUCAGUAACAAAACAGUAAUAGAACCCAUAAUCUCCUGAUGUGUGGUCCAGUGUGCUUUCUAACCCACUAUAAAAUGGCUGUUGAAUGGCUGUGGACAGAUUGCUUGCCUUCUCUUAAUUCCGUAAUGAGGGAUUUGAACAAAAUAAUCUCAGAUUUUCCAGCUCUAAUAUUCUUCAUGAGGAUCUCUGUGUUAAAGCCUUGAGCCCUGCACUCAUUAAUAUAACAAACUCCAUGCAAACCUUUUAAUGAGUGAGAGAAACAUGAAACAGGUAACCAGCUGCAGAUUGUUAAUAUCUAUGAGAGAUACUGCUGCUGUGGGUUUUAUAAGAGCAGAAGUUUUGUAACUUUUUUCAUUAGUUUAUUCUAGCCUAGUCCUCAGAUAACCAGUUAAAUGUACUUGAUUAAUCUGUUUUAAGUUAGAUAUCAAGAAAAUGUAAACAUUUAGUUUUCUUUUUAAAAUUUAAAAAAAUUGUGAGAGUCAGCAUUUUUUCUCUUACUUGUGAUCAGUGAACUUUUGAUUGAGCAGUUUUUCCUGAUUAGUGAUGAGACCCCAUUAGUGAUAUGAUUUUCAAUAUUGUGAAACAUAACCUUUGUGUUCAAUUUUAAAAAGAGGUUUAUGAAAAAAAAGGGCUGUAAAUCUCUCUACCAUAUCCUCUGCAUAAUUUUUAUUUAAAUCACUUAUUUUUCUAGUGGCAAAUGACAAUGCUCCAGAGCAUGCUUUGCGACCUGGUUUCUUAUCCACUUUUGCCCUUGCAACAGACCAAGGAAGCAAACUUGGACUUUCCAAAAAUAAAAGUAUCAUCUGUUACUAUAACACCUACCAGGUGGUUCAAUUUAAUCGUUUACCUUUGGUGGUGAGUUUCAUAGCCAGCAGCAGUGCCAAUACAGGACUAAUUGUCAGCCUAGAAAAGGAACUUGCUCCAUUGUUUGAAGAACUGAGACAAGUUGUGGAAGUUUCUUAAUCUGACAGUGGUUUCAGUGUGUACCUUAUCUUCAUUAUAACAACACAAUAUCAAUCCAGCAAUCUUUAGACUACAAUAAUACUUUUAUCCAUGUGCUCAAGAAAGGGCCCCUUUUUCCAACUUAUACUAAAGAGCUAGCAUAUAGAUGUAAUUUAUAGAUAGAUCAGUUGCUAUAUUUUCUGGUGUAGGGUCUUUCUUAUUUAGUGAGAUCUAGGGAUACCACAGAAAUGGUUCAGUCUAUCACAGCUCCCAUGGAGUUAGUCUGGUCACCAGAUAUGGAUGAGAGAUUCUAUUCAGUGGAUCAGAAUCAAACUGGUACAUUGAUCCACUUGAGCCGUUAAGUGCUGCCAAUUGUACAAUAUGCCCAGGCUUGCAGAAUAAAGCCAACUUUUUAUUGUGAAUAAUAAUAAGGACAUAUUUUUCUUCAGAUUAUGUUUUAUUUCUUUGCAUUGAGUGAGGAACAUAAAAUGGCUUGGUAAAAGUAAUAAAAUCAGUACAAUC